rnacentral:rRNA from 1 species
UUUCCGGUUGAUCCCGCCGGACCCUACUGCUAUCGGGGGAGGACUAAAACAUGCAAGUCGUGCGCCUCCAAGCCAUGGUGGAGACGCGGCAUACGGCUCAGUAACACGUGGCUAACCCACCCUUGAGACGGGGAAAACCCCGGGAAGCUGGGGCUAAUCCUCGAUGGGAGAAGACACCUGGAACGGGUCUCCUCUCAAAGGGCGCCUAGACCACGCUUCUAGACGCUGCUCAAGGACGGGGCCGCGGCCGAUCAGGUUGUUGGUGAGGUAACGGCUCACCAAGCCUAUAACCGGUACGGGCCGUGAAAGCGGGAGCCCGGAGAUGGGCACUGAGACAAGGGCCCAGGCCCUACGGGGCGCAGCAGUUGCGAAAACUCCGCAAUGCACGAAAGUGUGACGGGGCUACCCCGAGUGCCGUCCGCUGAGGGCGGCUUUUCCCCGGUGUAAGGAGCCGGGGGAAUAAGGAGAGGGCAAGUCUGGUGUCAGCCGCCGCGGUAAUACCAGCUCUCCGAGUGGUAGGGAUGAUUAUUGGGCUUAAAGCGUCCGUAGCCGGCUCGGCAAGUCUUCCGUUAAAUCCAACGAUUCAAUCGCUGGACUGCGGGAGAUACUGCUGGGCUAGGAGGCGGGAGAGGCCGACGGUAUUCUCGGGGUAGGGGUAAAAUCCUAUAAUCCCGGGAAGACCACCAGUGGCGAAGGCGGUCGGCUAGAACGCGCUCGACGGUGAGGGACGAAAGCUGGGGGAGCGAACCGGAUUAGAUACCCGGGUAGUCCCAGCUGUAAACGAUGCGGGCUAGGUGUUGGGGCGGCUACGGGCCGCUUCAGUGCCGCAGGGAAACCAUUAAGCCCGCCGCCUGGGGAGUACGGCCGCAAGGCUGAAACUUAAAGGAAUUGGCGGGGGAGCACCACAAGGCGUGAAGCUUGCGGUUUAAUUGGAGUCAACGCCGGA